rnacentral:rRNA from 1 species
UACAGAGGUCUCAAGCGUUGUUCGGAUUCAUUGGGCGUAAAGGGUGCGUAGGCGGCGCGGUAAGUCGGGUGUGAAAAUCGUCGGAGCUUAACUCCGAAACUGCAUUCGAGUACUGCCGUGCUUGAGGACUGGAGGAGGAGACUGGAAUUGACGGUGUAGCGGUGAAAUGCGUGAGAUAUCGUAAGGAAGACCGUGGCGAAGGCGGGUCU